AGUGGAAUAGCUGGGCCAAAUGGCAGUUCCAUUCUUAGUUUUUUAAGAAAUCUCCAUACUGCUUUCCAGAAUGGUUGCACCAAUUUGCAGUCUUACCAACAGU
rnacentral:pre_miRNA from 1 species